rnacentral:rRNA from 1 species
AGAGUUUGAUCAUGGCUCAGAUUGAACGCUGGCGGCAGGCCUAACACAUGCAAGUCGAGCGGAUGAAAGGAGCUUGCUCCUGGAUUCAGCGGCGGACGGGUGAGUAAUGCCUAGGAAUCUGCCUGGUAGUGGGGGACAACGUUUCGAAAGGAACGCUAAUACCGCAUACGUCCUACGGGAGAAAGCAGGGGACCUUCGGGCCUUGCGCUAUCAGAUGAGCCUAGGUCGGAUUAGCUAGUUGGUGGGGUAAUGGCUCACCAAGGCGACGAUCCGUAACUGGUCUGAGAGGAUGAUCAGUCACACUGGAACUGAGACACGGUCCAGACUCCUACGGGAGGCAGCAGUGGGGAAUAUUGGACAAUGGGCGAAAGCCUGAUCCAGCCAUGCCGCGUGUGUGAAGAAGGUCUUCGGAUUGUAAAGCACUUUAAGUUGGGAGGAAGGGUUGUAGAUUAAUACUCUGCAAUUUUGACGUUACCGACAGAAUAAGCACCGGCUAACUCUGUGCCAGCAGCCGCGGUAAUACAGAGGGUGCAAGCGUUAAUCGGAAUUACUGGGCGUAAAGCGCGCGUAGGUGGUUCGUUAAGUUGGAUGUGAAAUCCCCGGGCUCAACCUGGGAACUGCAUCCAAAACUGGCAAGCUAGAGUAUGGUAGAGGGUGGUGGAAUUUCCUGUGUAGCGGUGAAAUGCGUAGAUAUAGGAAGGAACACCAGUGGCGAAGGCGACCACCUGGACUGAUACUGACACUGAGGUGCGAAAGCGUGGGGAGCAAACAGGAUUAGAUACCCUGGUAGUCCACGCCGUAAACGAUGUCAACUAGCCGUUGGGAGCCUUGAGCUCUUAGUGGCGCAGCUAACGCAUUAAGUUGACCGCCUGGGGAGUACGGCCGCAAGGUUAAAACUCAAAUGAAUUGACGGGGGCCCGCACAAGCGGUGGAGCAUGUGGUUUAAUUCGAUGCAACGCGAAGAACCUUACCUGGUCUUGACAUCCACGGAAGUUUUCAGAGAUGAGAA